rnacentral:rRNA from 1 species
UACGGAGGGAGCUAGCGUUGUUCGGAAUUACUGGGCGUAAAGCGCGCGUAGGCGGCCUUGUAAGUUAGAGGUGAAAGCCCGGGGCUCAACCCCGGAACUGCCUUUAAGACUGCAUCGCUUGAAUCCAGGAGAGGUGAGUGGAAUUCCGAGUGUAGAGGUGAAAUUCGUAGAUAUUCGGAAGAACACCAGUGGCGAAGGCGGCUCACUGGACUGGUAUUGACGCUGAUGUGCGAAAGCGUGGGGAGCAAACAGG